GCUUGUCGCCAACACCAAAACAUUAUUAAGAUCUCAGGACAUGAAGCUAAUAGCCGACAUGGAUCAGAUUUGCCUGCGUGAGAUUGAGGCCCUUGAGAAGGCUUUGUAAAAAUACUUCACUCCCUUCUUUACGUCGGCUUUUACACAACUCUCAUGCACCCAUCUUGCUUGCAAUGUUUGGUGACAACAUUAUGUAUCAACCCAGAUGCUAAAAUAGUAUUUCUU
rnacentral:lncRNA from 1 species